GACGUAGGAUGCGAGCGUUGUCCGGAUUUAUUGGGCGUAAAGAGUUCGUAGGUGGUUUGUUAAGUCUGAUGUUAAAGAUCGGAGCUCAACUUCGGGACAGCAUUGGAUACUGGCAGACUUGAGUAUGGUAGAGGCUAGUGGAAUUCCCAGUGUAGCGGUGAAAUGCGUAGAUAUUGGGAAGAACACCGGUGGCGUAGGCGACUAGCUGGGCCAUAACUGACGCUGAGGAACGAAAGCCAGGGGAGCGAAAGGG
rnacentral:rRNA from 1 species